GCUAGUCGGGCGGGUGCGCGGGGCGCUCGGGGCCCGGGGCCAGAGCUGGAGCCGGAGCCGGGCGGGCGCCAUGGAGGGGCUGCGGCGGGGGCUGUCGCGCUGGAAGCGCUACCACAUCAAGGUGCACCUGGCGGACGAGGCGCUGCUGCUACCGCUGACCGUGCGGCCGCGGGACACGCUCAGCGACCUGCGCGCCCAGCUGGUGGGCCAGGGCGUGAGCUCCUGGAAGCGCGCCUUCUACUACAACGCGCGGCGGCUGGACGACCACCAGACGGUGCGCGACGCGCGCCUGCAGGACGGCUCGGUGCUGCUGCUCGUCAGCGACCCCAGGUAGUCUGGGUUGGAGGAGGCAGAGCCAUGACCAAGGGGACCUGGGUACUGGCUGAAGGAAUAGGCUGGGGUAGAGGGCACUUUUGGAAGGCACUUCUCCUGCCUCCCGGGAGCCUAGAUCUCACUCCAGGGUCUGGGCUCCCAGGUGGACCAUGAAACCCUGGCCUGACCAGCUGAUGCACACUGCUUCAGACACUCCUGCUGGAGCCCCAGUCCCUGACAAGGACCUAGGACAUUUUUGCUCCUGCCCAGCCUAUCGGGAGGGAGCCUUGAGCCUUUCAGCUCUGCUGUGUGACUUUGAGGUUGUUGCUCCCCUCUUGGGGCCCUGGGUGCCCUGUCUUCAGUGGAAAGCACUGUGCCACCUUGGAAAGCUCCCAUGGGCAGCCAGAGGGCAUCGCAAGAAGAGAAGCACAGAAGGGGCAGGAGAGACACUCAGAGGCACUUCCGCUCUUGCCCAGGACAUUUUCCCAGCCACACCUUUGCCCAAGCCGUGCCCCCUGCCUGGAGCACUUUUCAACCUCUUCUCUGCAGCUCCAAUACACCUGGGAUUGCAGUCUCCUCCAGGAAGUCUUCUCAGAUUCCCUCCUUCCCAGCCAGAGAGCACCUAGCCUUCUUUGGGGCCCCCACAGGCCCUUUGUGCAGUGAACAGCCCUGGCUGGGGGUGCAGCCAGUCGUGUCCGAACUCUCCAAUGACUAAGCGGGGAGAUGCGGACAUCCUAGCUCCUUCUCAGGCCUCCAACUGUGCCCCAUUUCCACCCCCAAAUACCUCCCCAGGAGGCACCUGUGCCCACCCCCUGGGCUGUUUCCCCCUUCCCCUUAAAUCCGGAUGCCUCGUCUUGCAUAGGGUCUUGGGGCAGCGGGGAAGGGGUUCUGAAGAACUCUGGCCAAGAGGACGAGGAUCUGGGGGUGGGGAACUGGGCCUAGCUGUGGGAGGUCAUCGCGGGGCAUUGCAGGGAGUGCGUUGUGGGAAUUCCGGGUGGAGACCCUCAGGGCAGUGUGCCGGGCCUCCGUUGCACCUCUGACCUGCAGCCACGUCAUCGUUGCGCAGCCCCUGGGGAGGGUCUUUGGGGAGGGGGUGCCGAGGCUACGCAUGUCCUCGAGGGCCGUGUACACUCUCCAGGCACCAUGGGCGGAGGCGCCAGAGGCUGGGAAGAAAUAAUGUUUUAGUUAAGAGUCCUGUUGGCUGCAGGACUCAGAGCAUGGACAGGUGGAUAGUAAAUCACCACCACGGGGACAGCCGUGCCCAGACUGUGCGUUUGCUUAGCUCGGGGACAGCACUUGGCCCGGGGUCUCCUGCUCGCCUCCCUUCAGAGCAUCUGCCAAACUUCGGGCAUCUACCCUGCAAUUCCCGCUUGGCUGAGAGGAGGGGGAGAAGGAGGGGAAGAGAGAGGAGCCCCACUUCACUCCGGCAGGCAGACCUGCUGGAGCUGCUUUGCAGAAUGACUUGGGUCUUGCUGGCCCCUGGGUGUGCCUGGAGGGGGGUCUUCCUAUCCCCCUCCACCUCUCCCCUUGGUGCCUAACCCAGGACUUUGUCCCCAGAGACCCACUGUGUGCCCCCUGGAGCUCCUCCUAGAGCAGAGUCUGCUGCUGUCUGUUCUGCAGAGGGUAGCCUGAGGCCCAAGGAGGUUGUCAGGGACACACAGCAGGGGGAGGCAGCCCAGAUCCCUGCUCAUGCGUGGUUUGGGCCUCUGCUAACAGCUGGGCCACAUGCGUGUAUCUAGAGCCUGGGUCCCCUCUGUCCUCAUUUCCCUGUGCAUAUUCAGGGACAUGCCUCGUCAGGGUUUGGCAAGAAAAUGGGGCAUUUAAUAAUCUCCCCAGUUUCAUUCCUUGGUCCUUACUCCAUGCCAGGACUUGUGCACAUCUUUUUGGAGCCCUGUCUCACUUGAUUGACAGCCGGCCAGGCGCGGUGGCUCACGCCUGUAAUCCCAGCACUUUGGGAGGACGAGGCAGGCGGAUCAUGAGGUCAGGAGAUGGAGACCAUCCUGGCUAACACGGUGAAACCCCGUCUCUACUAAAAGUACAAAAAAAAUAGCCGGGCCUGGUGGCGGGCGCCUGUAGUCCCAGCUACUUGGUAGGCUGAGGCAGGAGAAUGGCGGGAACCCGGGAGGCAGAGGUUGCAGUGAGCUGAGAUCACGCCACUGCACUCCAGCCUGGGCGACAGAGCGAGACUCCGUCUCAAAAAAAAAAAAAAAAAAGAUUGACAGCCUCACUGCUCAGGGGCCAGGAUAACAGCCCAUUUUACAGAUGGCUUUUGGCUUGCCCAAGGUCACCACCCUCUGAACUGAGGCGUCCCCAACCCAUGCCGGGAGCUGGUGGAGGAAGUGGGGAAGGGUUUCCCGCUUCUCCACUGGGGGUGGAGGUGGGAGAAAGCAUUUUCAGGGUGUUUUGACAUUUAACAAACAGUAUGCAAAUCACAUGCAAAUCGCAUGCAAAUCACCACCCAUUUCUUAAGCCUCGACAGCGCUGGCAUGUUCUGAAAUAAUAAUGUUGGACCUGUCCCUUGAUGAUGACCUGGGUCGGGAGGUGCACGGCCUUUUCCUUCCUCCGUCUUCCCUUCCCUUCCCUUCCCUUCCCAUCUGUUCUCCCUUCCUUCGCCCCCUUCCUUUCCUCUCCCUCCCUAUCUUCCAUUUUUCUCUUCUUCCUUCACAUCAUUUGUCCAAGACCUCCCUGGCCUGAGAUAAACAUAAGUUGCAAAAGUGGCUUCCUGCAGCCCAUUUUCCAGGUUGGGAAACUGAGGCAUGGGCCUAAGGUCCCACAGCCACACCGAGGAAAGCAGCCCCCACUGAAUGUCACCAUGCACCAAAGUGCAUGGUCCUCGUGACACAAAGAGGGGAGAUGACAGUGGCUGGAGUUGUCAGAGCUGCUUUGAGGAAGCUCCAGGCCUGAUAGGCUUGACAGGGCCAAGGGGAACUAUUGUGGAAUGUCUUGGCCUUGAAUGACAGGCUGCUGAUUUUGGAUCUGGAGAAAGCUCACACUGACUCUUCCUGCUCCCCCAGUCUGUUUUUCUCCUGCUACUCCAUCCAUGUAUCCCUGAGUUUGGGCCACAGUCCCUCCACUUGGUUUGCAUGUCCCACCUUCUUUGUUUGGCAAGCUCCUAUUCAUCCUUCAAAGCCCUAGCUUCAAUACCUGCUACUUCAUGCAGCCAUUGCUUAUCCUUCAAGGAGAGCCUACUUCCCUCAAGGACCCUGCUGCUUCCAGUCUCACCUUCUGACUCACUCGGGAUCCACUGAACUGGGAGGUCUGUGUCUCCUCCCAGCAGAGUCAUCACUACCUUUGGGGCCGCAGGAUCACCCAGCUUGGAACUAGAUACAGAAAUGCUGUUUUGAGAGUGUACUGAAUAAAAGAUUACAUGUUUGAAAAC
rnacentral:lncRNA from 1 species